rnacentral:lncRNA from 1 species
AAUAUAGCUUAGAUAAGGAAACAGUAGUAGUGAUACAGUUGGUACUAAACAGUAAAAUUGAAACUUUGGCUUGUAAAAUUUUCAAUUAAAUUUUGCUUAGAAAUGAAAAUCCCAAUGGUUUCAUUGCAGCAUACAAUGUCAUGUUUCUUACAAAAUGUUGUUUGCAUUAUUGUGUCAAAAAAGGUUUCUCCAUAUUUGUUUAUUUUUCUUUUUAUAAAAGAUGGAAAAUAUAAGGAUGAGAUCUAAAUUGAAAGGAAGGAGGAUAGAUAUAUAUAGCUAAUUAUUCAUUAAACGGUUGUAGCUAACUAGAAAAUAUUAUACUUCGUCCGUUUCAAUUUAUGUGACGUAGUUUCACUCUACACAAAUUUAAGGAGUGCAUCGAACAGGGAUUUUUUUGUGUGAGAUUGAUCUUAUUUACAUUCAAAGACUUUUUUCUAUUUGUGUAUAAUUGGAGAUUUCUGACCAGUUUGCUAAGUAAAUCCAUUGAGUAAGGCAUCAUCAAAUUUUAGGACAAGACUCACGAGAAUAAUAAAUAUGCUCAGGCCUCAGUGUAUAUGUUUAUGUUGUGUUAGGAUCGGGUUAUGCGGAAUUUAGC